AUGAUAGCACUUUUUUUCCCCCUGAUUAUCCCUGUGUUCUUGUCCAGCUGCAGCCUUAAGAGAUGCUGGGACACUCCUGUGAUUCUGUUCAUCUGUGGUGGUUUCAGAAAUGAGCAAGUUGUUUCCCCAGUGAGAUUACGAACAACCGGAAGGCCUCAGGACCAGCUCUGCACAGCCCCUCUUACAAUUCAGUCACAAGCAAAUCAAGCAGCCUCAGGAAAGUCUCAAAAUCACUCAGAUCAUCAGGAAAGCAAGAUCCCACGGCUGGUUAACCACUCAUGCAGGCCCUGGAUCAGCUGGGGGCUGGCCUGGCUCUUUUUGCAUGCAUGCCUUACACUGCAUGUAGUAAGUAGAGAGCCGUCCUGCGAGUUUGGGAGAAGAAAACCAUCCAAGGUCCCAAAGAUAAUUAUCCAGGUACGGGAUUGUAUAUUUUAAGUCUGACCUGUGGGUUUAUGGGGUAGGGGAGACAGGAAACAAGCCUUCCUUAGCUUUCCUCGUCUUCCAAAUCCUAUUAUGCUCCUUUCCUUUUAGAAACAAGCCUUCCUUAGCUUUCCUCGUCUUCCAAAUCCUAUUAUGCUCCUUUCCUUUUUUAAUUUUUUUUUUUCCUUCUCUCAAACCCCGUUUCUUCUAUUAGCCUAUCCUCGUGGAUUUCUUUGAAAUCUUUCCAAGCCCUAGUGGAAGCCAUUGAUUUUUUUUUUUUUUUUUUUUUUGACAGGCAGAGUGGACAGUGAGAGAGAGACAGAGAGAAAGGUCUUCCUUUUGCCGUUGGUUCACCCUCCAAUGGCCGCCGCGGCUGGCGCACCGCGCUGAUCCGAUGGCAGGAGCCAGGUACUUCUCCUGGUCUCCCAUGGGGUGCAGGGCCCAAGCACUUGGGCCAUCCUCCACUGCACUCCCUGGCCACAGCAGAGAGCUGGCCUGGAAGAGGGGCAACCGGGACAGAAUCCGGCGCCCCGACCAGGACUAGAACCCGGUGUGCCGGCGCCGCAAGGCAGAGGAUUAGCCUAGUGAGCCGUGGCGCCGGCCGCCAUGGAUUAUUUAAAAAAAAAAAAACUUUGCAAUUCAAAUACUACAGAAUUCAUCCAUUAAAUGUUUGAAUUUCAGUGUCCAUAGUGUAUUCACAGAGUUGUGCAUCCACCAUGGCCAACAUUUUUAAAACUUUUCUAGUACCCCAAAAAAGAAACUCUAUACCACUUGGAUAUCAUGCAUAACCCCCUGCCCCUGCCCUAGGCAAAACCAAUCUUCAUGGCUGGCGCCGCAGCUCAGCACCUGGCUUCUGGCUUCAGAUCGGCACAGCGCGCCAGCCGUAGCAGCCAUUUGGGGGGUGAACCAACGGAAAAAGGAAGACCUUUCUCUCUGUUUCUUUCCCUAACUCUGCCUGUCAAAAAAAAAAUCUUUGUUUCUAUAGAUUUGCCUAUGCUGAUAUUUCACAUACAUGAGUUUUUAAAGGCAACUGCUUCCACUUAGCAUAAUGUUUGUAAGAUCAUCCAUGCUGUGGCAGUGUAUCAGGUCUUCAGUCCUUUUAAUGGCUGAACACCAUUCCAUUGUUUGGACAUACAGCAUUUCGUUCAUCCAUUCAUCAGUUGCUGGAUAGGGAGGUUGUUUCAAAUAAUGACCACCAGGGAUUCUGCAGCUGUAUACAUGUAAUUGUGUGCACACAUAUUUUCAUUUCUCUUUAAGUAUACAGCUAGGAAUGCAGUUGCUGAGUCAUAUGGUCAACCUAUGUGUAGCCACUUCCAGAAAGUGCCAGACUAUUUUCCAAAGUGCCUGCACCUUUUUACAUUCUGCUUGGUUGCAGUAUCUCCCACUGUAGGCAGCCUAUAGACAAGUCAAGGUCGAUCUUGGCUUGUGGAAUUCCUGGGCUAAGAAAGUCACGUACUCCCAUGUUGCAGGAGGAUGUUGAUCAAGAACACUGUUAGAACUGACUGUGUUACAGAAAGCCCGGUAAGUGGCUUGUGUAUGUUGUUAUCUUCUGUGCUUCCUUGAGCUGCAGCUGGUUAUGUAUAAAUAUCGCUGAGACACUGGAAUAAACGAGCCUUGAUCAGUUCA
rnacentral:lncRNA from 1 species